GGGACAGCAGCCCAGGCCUGGCAGUCACAGCUCACCAGAAGGUGACACCCAAGAUGGUCAAAGCGCAUUACUAGUGUUAAUUAAUCCUUGCAACAGUCCAAUGAGACGGCACUCGACUGGGCAGUGAAGCACAGCAAUCUUGAGAUGGCAGAGAUGGUCGCCAAAGCAGGCGUCGAUGUCAAUGCUAAAUCGUAAUACUUUAAUACACCUAUGAAAUGAGUCUGCCUUUUUCAUGAAUAUUCUGAAAGCAAGCUGUCACCGCAGUCAAUUGAUA